AGGGUUUGAUUAUGGCUCAGGAUGAACGCUAGCUACAGGCUUAACACAUGCAAGUCGAGGGGCAGCGGGAUUGAAGCUUGCUUCAAUUGCCGGCGACCGGCGCACGGGUGAGUAACGCGUAUCCAACCUUCCGUACACUCAGGGAUAGCCUUUCGAAAGAAAGAUUAAUACCUGAUGGUAUCUUAAGCACACAUGUAAUUAAGAUUAAAGAUUUAUCGGUGUACGAUGGGGAUGCGUUCCAUUAGGUAGUAGGCGGGGUAACGGCCCACCUAGCCAACGAUGGAUAGGGGUUCUGAGAGGAAGGUCCCCCACAUUGGAACUGAGACACGGUCCAA
rnacentral:rRNA from 1 species